rnacentral:rRNA from 1 species
AGUGAACGCUGGCGGUAGGCCUAACACAUGCAAGUCGAACGGCAGCACAGUAAGAGCUUGCUCUUACGGGUGGCGAGUGGCGGACGGGUGAGGAAUACAUCGGAAUCUACUUUUUCGUGGGGGAUAACGUAGGGAAACUUACGCUAAUACCGCAUACGACCUACGGGUGAAAGCAGGGGAUCUUCGGACCUUGCGCGAUUGAAUGAGCCGAUGUCGGAUUAGCUAGUUGGCGGGGUAAAGGCCCACCAAGGCGACGAUCCGUAGCUGGUCUGAGAGGAUGAUCCGCCACAAGGGACACAGGACGCGACCCGCAUGCCUAGGGGAGGCCGCGGCGGGGAAAUUUGGACAAGGGGGGAAAGCCUAAGCCACCCAAUCCGGGUAGGGGAAAAAGCCCUUCGGGUUGUAAAGCCCUUUUGUUGGGAAAAAAAAGCAGCGGGUUAAUCCCCCGCUUUUUUAGCGUUACCCAAAAAAAAGGCCCCGGGAAAUUGCGG